AGCUCCAAUAGCGUAUAUUAAAGUUGUUGCAGUUAAAAAGCUCGUAGUCGAACUUUGGGUGAGGACAAUUGGUCAGUCUUUUAGGCUGUACUAGUUGUCUGAUCCUUUUUCCUAGAGGUUGUCUUUUGGCAAUGUUCUAGGUGUUUACUUUGAAGAAAUUAGAGUGUUUAAGGCAGGCUUGUGCUUGAAUACAUUAGCAUGGAAUAAUAGAAUAGGACCUUGGUUUUAUUUUGUUGGUUUUAAUAACCGAGGUAAUGAUUAAUAGGGACAGUUGGGGACAUUAGUAUUCAGAAGCUAGAGGUGAAAUUCUUGGAUUUUCUGAAGACUAACUACUGCGAAAGCAUUUGUCAAGGAUGUUUUCAUUG
rnacentral:rRNA from 1 species